AUUGAACGCUGGCGGCAGGCCUAACACAUGCAAGUCGAGCGGAUGAAGGGAGCUUGCUCCUGGAUUCAGCGGCGGACGGGUGAGUAAUGCCUAGGAAUCUGCCUGGUAGUGGGGGAUAACGUCCGGAAACGGGCGCUAAUACCGCAUACGUCCUGAGGGAGAAAGGGGGGGAUCUUCGGACCUCACGCUAUCAGAUGAGCCUAGGUCGGAUUAGCUAGUUGGUGGGGUAAAGGCCUACCAAGGCGACGAUCCGUAACUGGUCUGAGAGGAUGAUCAGUCACACUGGAACUGAGACACGGUCCAGACUCCUACGGGAGGCAGCAGUGGGGAAUCUUGGACAAUGGGCGAAAGCCUGAUCCAGCCAUGCCGCGUGUGUGAAGAAGGUCUUCGGAUUGUAAAGCACUUUUAGUUGGGAGGAAGGGCAGUAAGUUAAUCCCUUGCUGUUUUGACGUUACCAACAGAAUAAGCCCCGGCUAACUUCGUG
rnacentral:rRNA from 1 species